rnacentral:lncRNA from 1 species
GUGCUGGGAACUGAACUCGGGUCCUCUGCAAAAAGCAAUACAUACUUUUAACUAUGGUACUAUGCCUGUUUUCCCUGGGUCGUGGCAUUUUAUCAUAGCAGUAGAAAUGAAGCUAGAAUAAAGUUGCCGAGAAAAUAUUAAGUCCUUCCUAAUCCUAUUGGUUCUGAUUAUUUUGUUAAACAAGGAAAGUGUGUUCAUUAUUAAAAUUUAGAGAAGAUGGACAAGCAGCUUGAAUAAUGAGCACUUGUAAUCCCCAACUCUGACUCUCUAACCAGAUUAAUUUUGACCUUCUUCUGAAAAAAAAAAAGAACUAGCUUUUUUUUUUUGCAUAAGCAUUUAUGCAUGUAAAAGGAACUCUGUCUUUAAAAAUCAGACAGAACAGUAUUUGUUUUGUGCUGCAUCUUAUUUCUUUCCCAAUAAACGAUGCCCAAAUUAGGUCAUUUAAUACUUUAUAAUAUUACCUGAUGUAUAUUUCACUGCCUAUUUUUCUUCUCUGAAAUACAGAUUGAAAAAUAAUCUUUUCUUCCCCCAUGAAAGGUAAAAACAAUUCUCUUAGUCAUAAAUUAUUUCUUUUUCCACAGUCAUUAUAUUUAUUCAGCGUGAUUGAAAUGAAAAACAUAUUAAAUGAUUAUUUUUCUGGGGACAUAUCUCUGUGCUUAUUCAGUCAGUAUGCAUGAAGCCACAGGUUCAGUUUCUCACAGUCAUAAACUCAGCAUAGUCCUGGAUAGCUUUGAUCCUAGCAUUCCAGAGGUAGCAACUGAGGGAUGCACUUUGUCAGGACAGCCUGGACUAUGCUCCCUCUCAAAACAAUCAAUUAACCAACCAAACAAACAAAUGAAAACAACAAC